rnacentral:rRNA from 1 species
CCUACGGGGGGCUGCAGUGAGGAAUAUUGGUCAAUGGCCGGAAGGCUGAACUAGCCAUGCCGCGUGAAGGUCAGUGCCCUAUGGGCGUUAAACUUCUUUUGUGCGGGAGCAAUAAUGGUCACGUGUGGCCAGACGAGAGUACCGUACGAAUAAGCAUCGGCGAACUCCGUGCCAGCAGCCGCGGUAAUACGGGGGGUGCAAGCGUUAUCCGGAAUUAUUGGGGUUAAAGGGUGCGGAGGCUGUGAGGUAAGUCAGCGGUGAAAUGCCCCCGCUCAACGGGGUGAAGUGCCAUUGAUACUGCCUUGCUGGAAUGCGGAUGCCGUGGGAGGAAUGUGUGGUGUAGCGGUGAAAUGCAUAGAUAUCACACAGAACACCGAUUGCGAAGGCAUCUCACGAAUCCGCGAUUGACGCUGAUGCACGAAAGCGUGGGUAUCAAACAGGAUUAGAUACCCUUGUAGUC